CUUCAGCACGCCACGUGUGUCGUCAUCACGUGGGUGUGGCCAAUCACGUGCGCUCACUAGUGUCGCUGGGUCUCAGAGCUGCUCGCUUUUGUUGAUGAUCUAAGCGCAGGUGCGCGCUUCUGCAUCUUCAUUUCGCAGAGAUGGCAGUGAUCUAAAACUAUCAAGGACUGGAGACCACCACAAAAAAAGCCAAAGAAGAAAACAAAGGAAACUCUCAGACGAGGAAGACCAUUCUGCAUCAAGUUAAAGCUUCUGAUCAGGAUAAAAUCAUGGAAACAAG